GGACCACGAUUUGGACCAACUUGAAAACUGGGCCAAUAAUCAAGAAUCUAAGUACAUUUUUAGAUUCAGCAUAUCAAAGAACCUAACUGAUUCAUUUUUUGUCAAAAUCAAACUAAGUUUAAUUUUGGACCCUUUGGACCUUAAUGUAGACCAAUUUGAAAACGGGACCAAAAGUUAAGAAUCUACAUACACAGUCAUGACAGUUAGAUUCGCAUA
rnacentral:lncRNA from 1 species